rnacentral:tRNA from 1 species
GCUGUAAUAGCUCAGUGGUUAGAGCAUCGAACGCGUAAUUCGAUGGUCGUAGGUUCGAUUCCUACUUACAGUU